AUGGGUCAUGUUUCAGUGAUGGGUAUAAAGGAUGAGAGGGUGGAGGAAAGGUUUUCAGGGGGAGCGGGUAGAUGGGCCAAUGGGAUGAAUCCUGCCCUCUCUUUACGCUGCUGCGAACAAAUAGCAUGCCUCCAAGCUCUGCACAUGACUGCAUUUGCUCCUGUCCUUCAAGUGGGUCAUAUAUAGUUCAAUGCAAGUGCAAGAGACAGGGAGAAGAUAGUUUAGUCUGUAGGCACUCCAAUGGGUUUUAGCCUAGGAAUCCUCUCAUGUGCUGACUGCACAAGCUGCUCAUUCCAAUACAGAACAAGGGAAAAGCUUCACUCGCUGUGCUGAUUACUUAGCAUUCAGGAAAUCCCUCCGCCCCGUGCCUUCACUUGUAGCGCUCACCCAAGGAUCACCCUCCUGCCAGGUGAGUAUUUAUGUCUUCAGUCCUAACAAUUGUCAUUGAUAAGUAUUUGAAAAUAUGUGCACAGAGGUAUCUGAUGACUGCACGUGGUUUCUUUGUUCUUUCAGUUUCCCUACUGGGGAAAUUCUUACUAGCGCUGGUUAGAGCUUUAAUUUCUUUUCAGUAUUUCAGAUUGCUUGCAAGAAUAAUAGCGUGGUGGGAGAUUUACUGAACACUAGAAAAUAAGAUACGGCAAACAGGCGUCCUUGUCCAGGGUAUGAAUGUAACUGAAUACUCUGCUCGCCGCAGGGCUGGUUGUACUAGACAGGGAGGGACUGAGCCAGACAGGGGGACAAAGCCACACCAGCUAAACCCAGACAGAGUAAGCAUCCUGAUAGGUCGGCAGCAGAGGGUCACCCGGCUUUUGUGCAGUGGGGAAUAAAAAAAAAAAAAAGGCUACAUAGAACUAACCAAUCUUGUACUCAAGUCCUGAAAUAAUUAUACCACAUAGAUGACUUGGGAAAGGCUGUCUAUUCCGUAGUGAGAACAGCUAUGAACCCAAGUGAUGUUUUUGUAUAACACACACUCAUUUGCCACGGUUUUUUUAGAAUUUGCCAGCAAAUCCUAAUCCAAAAAUUCAAUAGAAAGACCUACAAUUGUGUGGGAUUGCGUGCACGCCUUAAAUUCCAGUGUUGACACAGUAUCAAGAUAAUGGGUACAUUAGUUGCACUGUAAUAAUGAGAUCAUAAAACCACAUCAGACAAUGGAAGGGACAUUUUCAGACAGAACGGCUUGCUACAGAAUGUGACACACGGCACAGGCAGUUUUUGGCUGCCUGUCACCACUAAUGCUUUUUGGAAGAUCGUCCAGAAAGUAAUACACCUUACAUGCCUGUGUGCCUGAAUGGGGGGGGGGGGUGAUAUUAGACAAGCUCAGGCAUGUAAACAGCAAACUGUGCUAUUCCAACAAAGCCAAGAUGUGGUUGGCGUUUACAGGGUUAAAUUGCACGUAAAAACCCAGAACAUUUGACAUCAUCAAAGCAGACAAAAGGAAAAGCAAUGAGGUGCCGGCUCAAGUAAAAACCUAACAAUGAGUAAAAUAAUACAGUCUCUGAUCUCUCCUCCUAAUUUCCCCCCUUGAGUGAGGAGGAAUGUGCUAAGUGACAGGAAAUGUUUCCAAACCUGCCCACAACUACCCCCCCCCAACCUUUUACUAGUCGCGCCUGCUUUUGUCUACAAGGAUCCACAGACUUCUGCUGGAGACAUCUCUCUCUCGCUUUAAGAUGCAGGAUAGACAGGGAGAUGCAUAAGACACAUCACAAUGUGUUUGCUUGGAAGACUUAAAGACCAAAUAAGUGGUGAGACUCUGCUGUUCUUGGUGUACAACAGAAUCCUUGCUGAAAUCCAGGUGAUGAUGAGGUGAAAACAUACAAUCUACAGUGACGGCUAUGUGCUUGGAAACCAAGUCUUAUAACACUGAUGUCGUUGGAUGCUCAAGUAGAUACAAACAGCAAUGUGCCAGACAUGAGUGCCCACACCGCACUUGCCUGAUAAAAAUAACUAAUAAUAAACAGAAAAAUAUAUUUUAUUUGACGACUGCAGUGUGGACACCCAUUGCCUGUGGGGCACCGUAUUGCUCCUGAAGAAUAGGUUCAUACCCAGCAUUAGCCAUAAUGCAUUUCCUGGUGACCUAAUCAAGAUCCUGGAAUGUGUCGGUCUCAGCAGAUUUUCCGCCUUUCUGAUGGCAAUCGAGCCCCAACUUGAUGGCUUCAGAGAACAUUCAACGCUGUCGGUGAGUUUGAGAAAGUGUAAAAAUGUAAACCAUCGGCCGUUGACUGUACCCUGAGGCUUUUCACAAAACAAGUGCCUGAACCCGGUUUCUGGAAACACCAAUCUUCCACCACUGCUGUGAAUGUCACUAAUUGUAAUGAACGGGGUUAUAUUUUAUUAUCACAUCUUAUAGCUAUAACAGCUGAAUGAGCAGAACACAUCAGCAUUGUUUCCACUUGAUUUUAGGAUUUUCUUAAUUGUAAUUAACUGCUGUAAAGUGGCCCAACCUAUGGGUUUAGAAUUCUCACAAAAAGGUGAAAGAACUUGUAGAUAAAAAACAGCUGAAAGUCUCCAGGUAAGGCUAAAUCUAUUGUCACACUGAAAUAAAUGAAGAAUUUUGCCUUUA